rnacentral:tRNA from 1 species
GGACGGGUGGCCGAGUGGUUUAAGGCAGCGGUCUUGAAAACCGCCGUGGGUGAGAGCCCACCGUGGGUUCGAAUCCCACCCCGUCCUCCG